rnacentral:rRNA from 1 species
GAUGAACGCUGGCGGCGUGCCUAAUACAUGCAAGUCGAGCGAACGGACGAGAAGCUUGCUUUUCUGAUGUUAGCGGCGGACGGGUGAGUAACACGUGGAUAACCUACCUAUAAGACUGGGAUAACUUCGGGAAACCGGAGCUAAUACCGGAUAAUAUUUUGAACCGCAUGGUUCAAAAGUGAAAGACGGUCUUGCUGUCACUUAUAGAUGGAUCCGCGCUGCAUUAGCUAGUUGGUACGGUAACGGCUUACCAAGGCAACGAUGCAUAGCCGACCUGAGAGGGUGAUCGGCCACACUGGAACUGAGACACGGUCCAGACUCCUACGGGAGGCAGCAGUAGGGAAUCUUCCGCAAUGGGCGAAAGCCUGACGGAGCAACGCCGCGUGAGUGAGGAAGGUCUUCGGAUCGUAAAACUCUGUUAUUAGGGAAGAACAUAUGUGUAAGUAACUGUGCACAUCUUGACGGUACCUAAUCAGAAAGCCACGGCUAACUACGUG